rnacentral:sRNA from 1 species
GUAAGAGAUCAAGGCAUGUUUUAUUUAUGAAUACUUAUUAAUUCCUUAAACAAUUUUAUUUAAACAAUCCUAUUUAGGAAAAGCAGGCAUUUUGGUAGUUUAGAAGUAUUUAAAGUCCAGCAGCUGUUCUAAAAAUAGAAAUUGGCUUCAGGUUCCCUACCCCAUUUCAAUAGCAGCCAGCCAACCUACCCUGUUAACAUUUGUGCUGUUAUUUUUUGCUUACUUGUCUUUCUAUGUAGUAGAGAUGAAAUAAAAUUGAAAGAUGUACCUGCCUUUGUUUUGUAGUGAAUGGCAUUACUGAGGAAGCUGAUCCCACCAUUUACUCUGGCAAAGUAAUUCGCCCUCUGAGGAGUGUUGAUCCAACACAGACUGAGUACCAAGGAAUGAUUGAGAUUGUGGAGGAGGGCGAUAUGAAAGGUGAGGUCUAUCCAUUUGGCAUUGUUGGGAUGGCCAACAAAGGGGAUUGCCUGCAGAAAGGGGAGAGCGUCAAGUUCCAAUUGUGUGUCCUGGGCCAAAAUGCACAAACUAUGGCUUACAACAUCACA